AUAUGUUGCAUGGAAAAUUAUUAAGUUUGAAAUUUGAGAUUGUUUAUAUGGUAAGUUCACAUUUGAGCUAGCAAGUAGUACUAUUAUACUAUGCCACUGUAGUUUAUUGUCAUGACAGAUUUAUUUUCUACUUUAACCACAAAAGGUAUCAGAACUAUACAUGCAUUCAAAUUCAUACUGUCAUGCUUCUUUAUGCUGCACGUGUGUAAAUUUGGCUUGAAAACUAGACAUGCUUAUAUACUAUUGUCUGAGAAUGUGCAGUCAACUCUAAAAGGUAUUAUGCCACUGGAUUGUCUGUUCAAAUAAGAAAACGUUUCAAUAUUUAUAGAAACUCAUCGCGGCAUCUGUUAUUUAUAGUUUAAUAUGUUAAUGGCCUAUUGCCACAGGCAUAUGAGAAGUGCUUUCAGAAUCUGCACUAUGUAGAGCGGCAUGAGGAUCAUACAAUUGCACAUGCAAUUCAGACAUCGUAUAAAAAGACUAAGGUGUAUCUUUGGCCAGCUCCUACACAAUCAGGGAUGAAGGCAGGCAAAACUGUGGAGUUGAUUCUUAACUUAGCUGGUUACAGGAAUGUGAAAUCAAAGGUUGUUGGUUCAAGGAAUCCCCACAACACUGUGAAGGCUCUCUUCAAGGCAUUAAAUGCGGUAAAUGGGAGGA